rnacentral:rRNA from 1 species
AUUGAACGCUGGCGGAAUGCUUUACACAUGUAAGUCGAACGGCAGCACGGACUUCGGUCUGGUGGCGAGUGGCGAACGGGUGAGUAAUGUAUCGGAACGUUCCCAGUCGUGGGGGAUAACGUAGUGAAAAUUACGCUAAUACCGCAUACGAUCUAUGGAUGAAAGCGGGGGAUCGCAAGACCUCGCGCGAUUGGAGCGGCCGAUAUCAGAUUAGGUAGUUGGUGGGGUAAAGGCCCACCAAGCCAACGAUCUGUAGCUGGGCUGAGAGGACGACCAGCCACACUGGAGCUUAGAAGCGGUCCAGACUCCUACGGGAGGCAGCAGUGGGGAAGUUUGGACAAUGGGCGAAAGCUUGAUCCAGCCAUUCCGCGUGCAGGAUGAAGGCCCUCGGGUUGUAAACUGCUUUUGUACAGAACGAAAAGGUUUCUACUAAUACUAGGAGCUCAUGACGGUACUGUAAGAAUAAGCACCGGCUAACUACGUGCCAGCCGCCGCGGUAA